UUAAGCAUAUCAAUAAGCGGAGGAAAAGAAACCAACAGGGAUUGCCUCAGUAACGGCGAGUGAAGCGGCAACAGCUCAAAUUUGAAAUCUGGCCUCUUUGGGGUCCGAGUUGUAAUUUGUAGAGGAUGUUUCGGGCACCGCUCCGGUUUAAAUUUCUUGGAACAGAAUGUCAAAGAGGGUGAGAACCCCGUCUUGGACCGGCAGUAGGGCCCAUGUGAAACUCCUUCGACGAGUCGAGUUGUUUGGGAAUGCAGCUCAAAAUGGGUGGUAAAUUUCAUCUAAAGCUAAAUAUUGGCCAGAGACCGAUAGCGCACAAGUAGAGUGAUCGAAAGAUGAAAAGCACUUUGAAAAGAGAGUUAAACAGUACGUGAAAUUGUUGAAAGGGAAGCGCUUGCAACCAGACUUGCGCGCGGCGGUUCCCCCUUCCUUUUGGUUGGGUUAUUCCGCCGUGUCCAGGCCAACAUCGGUUCUGGGGGUCGGUUAAAGGCCUGGGGAAUGUAUCUACCCUUCGGGCGUAGACUUAUAGCCCCGGGUGUCAUGCGACCUCCCGGGACCGAGGAACGCGCUUCGGCUCGGAUGUUGGCGUAAUGGUUGUCAGCGACCCGUCUUGAAACACGGACCAAGGAGUCUAACAUCUAUGCGAGUGUUUGGGUGUCAAACCCGGAACGCGGAAUGAAAGUGAACGGAGGUAGGAAGCUUCGGCUGCACUAUCGACCGAUCCUGAUGUCUUCGGAUGGAUUUGAGUAAGAGCAUAGCUGUUGGGACCCGAAAGAUGGUGAACUAUGCCUGAAUAGGGUGAAGCCAGAGGAAACUCUGGUGGAGGCUCGCAGCGGUUCUGACGUGCAAAUCGAUCGUCAAAUUUGGGUAUAGGGGCGAAAGACUAAU
rnacentral:rRNA from 1 species